AUUGAACGCUGGCGGCAGGCCUAACACAUGCAAGUCGAGCGGUAGCACAGGAGAGCUUGCUCUCCGGGUGACGAGCGGCGGACGGGUGAGUAAUGUAUGGGGAUCUGCCCGAUAGAGGGGGAUAACUACUGGAAACGGUAGCUAAUACCGCAUGAUGUCGCAAGACCAAAGAGGGGGACCUUCGGGCCUCUUGCCAUCAGAUGUGCCCAGAUGGGAUUAGCUAGUAGGUGGGGUAACGGCUCACCUAGGCGACGAUCCCUAGCUGGUCUGAGAGGAUGAC
rnacentral:rRNA from 1 species